rnacentral:rRNA from 1 species
CCUACGGGUGGCAGCAGUGAGGAAUAUUGGUCAAUGGACGAGAGUCUGAACCAGCCAAGUAGCGUGAAGGAGGACUGCCCUGUGGAUUGUAAACUUCUUUUAUAUGGGAAUAAAAUGUUCCACGUGUGGGCUUUUGUAUGUACCCUAUGAAUAAGGAUCGGCUAACUCCGUGCCAGCAGCCGCGGUAAUACGGAGGAUCCGAGCGUUAUCCGGAUUUAUUGGGUUUAAAGGGAGCGUAGGUGGAUUGUUAAGUCAGUUGUGAAAGUUUGCGGCUCAACCGUAAAAUUGCAGUUGAAACUGGCAGUCUUGAGUACAGUAGAGGUGGGCGGAAUUCGUGGUGUAGCGGUGAAAUGCUUAGAUAUCACGAAGAAAUCCGAUUGCGAAGGCAGCUCACUGGACUGAAACUGACACUGAGGCUCGAAAGUGUGGGUAUCAAACAGGAUUAGAUACCCGUGUAGUC